rnacentral:rRNA from 1 species
UACAUGGGGUGCAAACGUUGCUCGGAAUUAUUGGGCGUAAAGCGCGCGUAGGCGGUUACUUAAGUCGGAUGUGAAAGCCCUCGGCUUAACUGAGGAAGUGCACCCGAAACUGAGUAGCUAGAGUACGAAAGAGGGUCGCGGAAUUCCCGGUGUAGAGGUGAAAUUCGUAGAUAUCGGGAGGAAUACCAGUGGCGAAGGCGGCUGCCUGGCCUGUUCUCGACGCUGAGGCGCGAAAGCUGGGGGAGCAAACGGG